rnacentral:miRNA from 1 species
UCAAUAAAGCCAAAAAUUAAGAUGUAUGUAUGUAUAUAUAUGUGUGUGUGUGUGUGUGUGCGUAUAUAUACACACACACACGCACACUACUGUUUUAAA